rnacentral:rRNA from 1 species
AGAGUUUGAUCCUGGCUCAGGAUGAACGCUGGCGGCGUGCCUAAUACAUGCAAGUCGAGCGAACCGAUUAGAAGCUUGCUUCUAUGACGUUAGCGGCGGACGGGUGAGUAACACGUGGGCAACCUGCCUGUAAGACUGGGAUAACUUCGGGAAACCGAAGCUAAUACCGGAUAGGAUCUUCUCCUUCAUGGGAGAUGAUUGAAAGAUGGUUUCGGCUAUCACUUACAGAUGGGCCCGCGGUGCAUUAGCUAGUUGGUGAGGUAACGGCUCACCAAGGCAACGAUGCAUAGCCGACCUGAGAGGGUGAUCGGCCACACUGGGACUGAGACACGGCCCAGACUCCUACGGGAGGCAGCAGUAGGGAAUCUUCCGCAAUGGACGAAAGUCUGACGGAGCAACGCCGCGUGAGUGAUGAAGGCUUUCGGGUCGUAAAACUCUGUUGUUAGGGAAGAACAAGUACGAGAGUAACUGCUCGUACCUUGACGGUACCUAACCAGAAAGCCACGGCUAACUACGUGUCAGCAGCCGCGGUAAUACGUAGGUGGCAAGCGUUAUCCGGAAUUAUUGGGCGUAAAGCGCGCGCAGGCGGUUUCUUAAGUCUGAUGUGAAAGCCC